GCCCCCAUCGUCUAGCGGCCCAGGACGCCACCCCUUCAAGGUGGAGAUCGCGGGUUCGAAUCCCGCUGGGGGCACCA
rnacentral:tRNA from 1 species